rnacentral:rRNA from 1 species
ACGGGAGGCAGCAGUGGGGAAUAUUGCACAAUGGGGGAAACCCUGAUGCAGCGAUGCCGCGUGGAGGAAGAAGGUUUUCGGAUUGUAAACUCCUGUCGUAAGGGACGAUAAUGACGGUACCUUACAAGAAAGCUCCGGCUAACUACGUGCCAGCAGCCGCGGUAAUACGUAGGGAGCGAGCGUUGUCCGGAAUUACUGGGUGUAAAGGGAGCGUAGGCGGGAUGGCAAGUCAGAUGUGAAAUAUACGUGCUCAACAUGUAGACUGCAUUUGAAACUGUCAUUCUUGAGUGAGGUAGAGGUAAGCGGAAUUCCUGGUGUAGCGGUGAAAUGCGUAGAGAUCAGGAGGAACAUCGGUGGCGAAGGCGGCUUACUGGGCCUUUACUGACGCUGAGGCUCGAAAGCGUGGGGAGCAAACAGGAUUAGAUACCCUGGUA